UACGGAGGGUGCUAGCGUUGUUCGGAAUUACUGGGCGUAAAGGGCUCGUAGGCGGCCAACUAAGUCAUACGUGAAAUCCCUCGGCUUAACCGGGGAACUGCGUCUGAUACUGGAUGGCUUGAGUUCGGGAGAGGGAUGCGGAAUUCCAGGUGUAGCGGUGAAAUGCGUAGAUAUCUGGAGGAACACCGGUGGCGAAGGCGGCAUCCUGGACCGAUACUGACGCUGAGGAGCGAAAGCCAGGGGAGCAAACGGG
rnacentral:rRNA from 1 species